AGCCCAUGUCAUAUAUCAACAUUCAAAUACACAGUACUGUAGCUUCAAAUACAAAGCCCAUGUUCUGUUCACUGUAGGUUCAAGCAGUGAGCAUGAUGACUAUUUACAAAUGGUCACAUCUAAGGAAUGACCGAACCAAAGUAACAGGAAAUACAUUUUAUAUUCUAUAACACUACUUCCUAUAUAGAACAUCUGCAACAAUCUCCCAUCUCAUCCACACAUCUGCAACAAUCUUCCAUCUAAUCCAGCACAUGAAAAAAUAACAAUCACAGAUAGAGAGAUUAUUAAAAAAAUAAAGAAAUGAUUGGUUUAAUACGUUCAGCCCAAGAGAAAUGAGGCA
rnacentral:lncRNA from 1 species